CACGUAGGGCGCGAGCGUUGUCCGGAAUUAUUGGGCGUAAAGAGCUCGUAGGCGGCCUGUUGCGUCCGCUGUCGAAAGCCCGGGGCUUAACCCCGGGUCGGCAGUGGAUACGGGCAGGCUAGAGGUGAGGUAGGGGAGAAUGGAAUUCCCGGUGUAGCGGUGAAAUGCGCAGAUAUCGGGAGGAACACCGGUGGCGAAGGCGGUUCUCUGGGCCUUACCUGACGCUGAGGAGCGAAAGCGCGGGGAGCGAACAGG
rnacentral:rRNA from 1 species